GAGCUAUCGAGUCGGAGGACCAAGGAAAUUAACAAAGUUGUUUAAAGGAGCAUUGACGGAGUAAUACCGUAGUUAAACGGUUUCUGAUCGUUACCUGUCUUUUUGGACGAGACUUCACUUUGUUUGCUUCUCGAAGUCUCCUUGUUUGAAUUGUGGUAUUUUGUUCAGUAGCGCUACAAUAGUAGUUAUCCGCAAUAGAUUAGUAUAGUCUCAUUGUAUUCAAAUGUUUUAAAGCGCAUUUAAACUCUGAUGUUUUGUCCCAUCAGUUAUUUAAUAAAUGUUUCAUA